AUGGCCCGUCUGCUGUCUCUGAUGGAGGACGUCGCAACUAAGACCGGCGGCCUCUCCUCCACUGCUGGUGCUGGGGCGUCGCGGCUCGGACGGUGGGUGGCCAAGGAGGACGACGACGCGGUGUACCUCAAGGUGCCGAUGCCGGGGCUGACCAAGGAGCACGUGAAGGUGCGCGCGGACAAGAACAUCCUGGUGAUCGAGGGCGAGGGCGAGAAGCAGCCCUGGGACGGCGACGACGACUCCGCGGUGCCAAAGUACAACCGCCGCAUCGAGAUGCCCGCUGCUGACGCGUACAAGAUGGACAAGAUCAAGGCCGAGAUGAAGAAUGGCGUGCUCUGGGUCACCCUGCUCAAGGUCAAGGAGGAGGAGCGCACGGACGUCUUCCACGUCAAGGUCGAGUAG
rnacentral:rRNA from 1 species